rnacentral:lncRNA from 1 species
AGGGAACCCAAGAGUCCAGGAGCAGUGGUGGGCAGCAGCAGCUCAGCCUCUGAAACCCACGCGUGUCAAGCUUCCCAAGGACAACACUUUUUUGCCCUUCUUGUUUCUAAUUAAAAAGAAUUAGUCAGCAGAGUGGCAUGCUUAUGGACAGUGCCGAGUGACAUUACUGCAUGGCUUUGUUCAUCAAUGGGAGGGGCAGAUGCCGUCCUGCUGGAGACUGGCACAGAAUCUCGUUCUCUGCGACUAACUGCUUGGAAGCCCAAGCCACCUACCAGCUGAACCAAUGACUCAUUAUACUUUUUUCUGAGGUUUGGCUGGACCCGCCAAGAAAAGGCAUCAUGCAGAAGCACUGUACAGCCAGGAAUGGGGUUGUCAUCUCCACUCCAUCCUGGCUCUGGAGAAAACAACACUCUCUCUCCCACAAAUGCCUACAAGAGGCCGAAGAGAUGAAAACUGCCUUGGCAAUGGGUCAUACCGGCCCUCAGCCCUGGUCUCUCUUUCUGGGCUGAUAGGGAGGGUCCUGAGCCCAUUCCACAGCCUCCAUGGAAGGCAGCCUUUCAGAAACUAAAGGGAAUGUCCCCUGCCAGCCCACAACAGGGAUAGGGGCUUGAAGAAGGCAUGGUCUAAAUCUGUGGAGAGUCAGCUAAGCCAGUUUUAGGAAGAGCUGUCAGUCCACUUGUGGCCUCAGAGCCUGACAGUCAAUAGU